rnacentral:rRNA from 1 species
GACGAACGCUGGCGGCGUGCUUAACACAUGCAAGUCGAACGGAAAGGCCCUGCUUUUGUGGGGUGCUCGAGGGGCGAACGGGUGAGUAACACGUGAGUAACCUGCCCUUGACUUUGGGGUAACUUCAGGAAACUGGGGCUAAUACCGGAUAGCAGCUCCUGCUGCAUGGAGGGGGUUGGAAAGUUUCGGCGGUUGGGGAUGGACUCGCGGCUUAUGAGCUUGUUGGUGGGGUAGUGGCUUACCAAGGCUUUGACGGGUAGCCGGCCUGAGAGGGUGACCGGCGACAUUGGGCCUGCGAUACGGCCCAGACUCCUACGGGAGGCAGCAGUGGGGAAUAUUGCACAAUGGGAGGAAGCCUGAGGCAGCAACGCCGCGUGCGUGAUGCCGGCCUGCUGGUAGUAAACCGCUUUCGCCUGAGACGAAGCGGGAGUGACGGUAAUGGAUAAAGAAGCACCGGCUAACUACGUG